UGGGCCGUUUAGUAAUUAUUUUGCUCUUCU
rnacentral:piRNA from 1 species